rnacentral:lncRNA from 1 species
GGCCUUUCAUUGCUGACUAUAUAUGCGGUAUGGGCUUUGCUCAUUGUUGAAGGACGUACGGUGACCUAUAGCUGUUUAUGUCUGUGCCAUUUUGGUCUCUUUUGGAUACAUUGAAGUUGUCUAAUUGGCAAUCAUACCACAUCUUUUUUAUAUAGAUGGGUUUUGUUCUAACAUGUCUAAAUUUUAAGUGUGGAUGCUUAACCAAAAAUGUUAUAACUGGAAUCCGGGC